UCCGGUUUGUCACCGGCAGUCUCAUUAGAGUGCCCUUGCGUAGCAACUAAUGAUAAGGGUUGCGCUCGUUGCGGGACUUAACCCAACAUCUCACGACACGAGCUGACGACAGCCAUGCACCACCUGCGCUGGAUCCCGAAGGAUCACCGUGUUUCCACAGAUUACCCAGCAUGUCAAGCCUUGGUAAGGUUCUUCGCGUUGCAUCGAAUUAAGCCACAUGCUCCGCCGCUUGUGCGGGCCCCCGUCAAUUCCUUUGAGUUUCAGCCUUGCGGCCGUACUCCCCAGGCGGGGCACUUAAUGCGUUAGCUACGGCCCUCGGGGGGUCGCUCCCCCAAGCGCCUAGUGCCCAUCGUUUACGGCGUGGACUAC
rnacentral:misc_RNA from 1 species